UGUUUAAAAUGCCGCCUUCCACUGAGGAUUUUACCAGAUUUUAAUCGACAUAAAACAUAACAUUUCAUCUUCAAUCUGUUGGUGACAAGAAAAGGUGUUUGACAUGAACACAGCAAACUGGCAAAGACACAAACAUUUAACAGGUCAACACAGAGCCGGGCAAUAGUGUUCAGAACAUUACAGAAAUAUAUCGUGACCUGCAUUUGGUUUGGGGGAGUCAACAUUUACAAUAAUAUUGUGUUGGUGUGUCCUGCCCGCACAGCAGGUUGUUGCAGUGGGCAGCCCACUGACUGGAGCACAGUGACUACCUCGACUACUGGGGACAAGGCACCAUGAUGACGGUGACUAAUGCUGUAACUACUCCUCCCAGUCUUUACGCCCUGCUGCCAUACUGUGGACAAUCCUCUUCUGGAGGCUCAGUGACUGUUGGGUGUCUGGCCUCCAGCUACAGCCCCGAUCCCGCCAUCUUCACCUGGAGAUCAAAUACAAAUCCCAUCACUGACCAAGUCGAGACUUAUCCCUCAGUGCUCAACAAGAACGGUCUCUACACUCUGAGCAGCCAGUUAACAAUCGCUGAAUCCCAGCUGGGCAGCAUCUAUUGUAAGGUUGCACAUAAAAGCAAUACCUGGUCAGCCGUGGAAAUCCUCGUGCCAGAUCUCCCGUCACCGUUGCCCCCAGUUGUUAUCCUCACACAGUUUUCCCCGGAGGACAUCGCAAUGCACAAACCGACCACUGCUAUCUGCUUCAUAUACGGUUUCCGUCCGGACAGUCUCAGUGUUGAGUGGCUGAAGGACUGGCAGCCCAUACACUCAGGUGUUGUGACCUCUCCCUCGGUUGAAAACAAUGGGACAUUCAGCACCAGCAGCCGUCUGACUGUCACCGCCAGAGAGGGGAAGAGCGACUCGGUUUACACCUGCAAGGUGACCCAUCAGCCCUCCCACACCAUCACUGUCAAGAACAUCACCAAGUGCCCAGAUUGUCCGCCUGUUGAACCUGUCAAGGUCUCUUUCCUGCCGCCUUCACCGAAACAGGUUUUGAUGGAACCCAUUGUAACGCUGACAUGUGUCGUGGCGAAUGCACCACAUGACGUCAACGUGACUUGGACACAAGAACAGACACAUUUACAGUCUGGAUAUGGAAAACCAUCUGCCACUGGGCCUCAGGAAGUGAUCAGUAAACUAAACAUUUCUACACAAGACUGGACCGGUGGAAAAGUAUACUUCUGCAUUGUCAGCCAUGACGAUAUACCGACUCCCAUCAGAAAAAAGAUAUUUAAGGAGCCCGUUUUGUACACGAAACAACCUUCAGUGUAUCUGCUUCUCCCAUCGGCAGAAGAAUUGUCUGCUCAGCAGUCUCUCACCCUCAGUUGCCUGGUGAAGAACUUCGCUCCCAAAGAGAUCUUUGUGGAGUGGACUGUGAAUGACCAAUCGAUUGAUGCCGACAAAUACAAGAACACUGAGGUGAUGGCAGACAGUGCAGAUGGCGAUUACUCCAUGUACAGCAUGUUAUCCAUCUCAGCCGGAGAUUGGGACAGAGGCUAUUCCUACUCCUGUGUGGUCGGACAUGAAACUUUCCCACUGAAGACCCUGACCAGAGCCGUUAAUAAAUCCAGCGAGGUGAUCCCAACCGAGACGAUGCUGGAAGGUUUUCAACAAGAUGAACAUGACAACCUCUGGCCGACAGCUUCCACCUUCAUCAUCCUCUUCUUCCUGAGUAUUUUCUACAGUGCCACGGUCACUCUAUUUAAGGUAAAAUGAGUUUAUUACCAUCAGCUUCACCGAUGUUCCUCAUCUGUUUGUGUUUAUCUUCAAUUUCCUGUGACAGAGUAUGUGAUGUCUUGUUUCACCCAAUGAACCAUUCAUGGGAAGUCAACAUUGUAUUGUGCAACUACAUGAAUUUUAGUGACUUUUCUUAUUGUUAGUCUAUGUUACAAUGUGCCUUUUGUUAAUAAUACAUAAUGUUGUUAUUUCAUGUACUGAGCGCCUCUCUGAUAUUCUUUAUUUGCUGUUUACUGAUUGUGUGGUGUAAUGAUACAGAAAGACAGAGGCUGUUAUAUUUUGUCCUUUUAUUUCAUUCUGAAGAUGUGUAUUUGUGAUCCGGUCCUAUUCCAUAAUGCCUACAGAUUCUCUCUAUUUGUUUGCCCGAAGUAUCAAUAAAUGAUAAAAGUUA